GAGGGUAUAGCUCAGUGGUAGAGCACGUGCCUAGCAUGCAGAAGGUCCUGCGUUCAAUCCCCAGUACCUCCC
rfam:Camelus ferus unplaced genomic scaffold scaffold1443, whole genome shotgun sequence.